UGCGUCUACCAAUACCAGAAAGCCUUGCGUGAGUCGACUUUAGCAUUAUGUUACAGCAUAUCAUUCCUGUAAUAUCUGUCCGUAAUUCAUAUACUUAUAAGAAACUUUCAAAAUGGGAAAUAGCAGUUUCAGUUGUCCAUGUAUAAACACUGUUGCUAACAAAGAGAAAAUAGAUAUUAAGGAAGCAAAAGACGUGGACAUUGGGAACAAAUAUAACUCGACCGUGAAUGACGAUAAUCGUGAAGCGAAUGAAAGGAAAGCUCGAUGUGAUGAAGAAUCUCGUAAUUCUGAUGAUCAUAAUGCGAAAUAACAAAAUUAAAAAGUUUUAAACUCUGAGCCAUUGAGCAUAUUCGUAACAGUGUGUUGAGUCGUUGCAAUUUCAUCAUUUUAAGCAAUAUUUCCGUUAGUGUGUGAAGAUUAAUUUUAAAAUUUAUAAUUGAAAAUGUGCCAAACUUUUACAAUUUGUAUCUUAUGUAUUAAACGAAUUAUUUAUCAAAUAAAUGACUAUUAUCGUCGAUUUUGGUAUUAGAAACA